rnacentral:lncRNA from 1 species
AGGCACACUCCACCCCACCCCGGCCUACUUAUGCGGGGUGGUGCUGCGGCGAGGAGCACAAGCGCCUCAGGGGGAGUAAACAAUGGCGGGGAGGGACGGACACCCACAAAGCACAAAGCUGACACAGCCCCACCUCCUCCUCCCCUGCCGCUAUUUCUUAAUCCGCCUGUCCUUCUUGAUCUUGGUGGAUGAGAUCUUCCGCAAUAAAUUUCCUUUCCCUCGCUACAGCACCGGUAAACCUUGAAAGAAAGAAAGAAUCACGCAGUAUCUUGUGUCCAACGCGCCUAGCAUAAACAACGCGUCCACAUUCCUCCUCCCAGACCCUACAAAUCUCUGCAGAAACAACGGGAAAAACAGAGUUAGCCGAGAUUUUUUUUAAAGGCGUCGGAGCAGGGGUCGAUCGACACCGCGCAUCUUUUUCUAACGCAAGUGGGGAGGCAACGGAGAGGCCGGACCGGCGACCACUUGCUCGCUCCGGUCUGCGCUCGUGCUUGCGCUUGCGGGGAGGAAUCUUGUAACAAGAUCUCGCAGCCUUGUGCCGGGACGAAGAGAGAUACUCCUGCUA